GGGCGGUUAACUCAGUGGUCAGAGUGCCAUCCUCACACGAUGGAAGUCCGCGGUUCAAAUCCGCGACCGCCUACCA
rnacentral:tRNA from 1 species